GACGAACGCUGGCGGCGUGCUUAACACAUGCAAGUCGAACGGAAAGACCCUGCUUUUGUGGGGUGCUCGAGUGGCGAACGGGUGAGUAACACGUGAGUAACCUGCCCUUGACUUUGGGAUAACUUCAGGAAACUGGGGCUAAUACCGGAUAGGAGCUCCUGCUGCAUGGUGGGGGUUGGAAAGUUUCGGCGGUUGGGGAUGGACUCGCGGCGUAUCAGCUUGUUGGUAGGGUAGUGGCUUACCAAGGCGUUGACGGGUAGCUGGCCGGAGAGGGGGACCGGGCAGACUGGGACUGAGACACGGCCCAGAAUCGUAGGGGAGGCAGGAGUGGGGAAGAUGGGACAAUGGGCGAAAGCCUGAGCCAGCAGUGCGGCGGGAGGGAUGAAGGGCUUAGGGUUGGAAAGCCCUUUGAACCGGGAGGAUAAUGACAGUACCGGGAGAAUAAGCGCCGGCUAACUCCGUG
rnacentral:rRNA from 1 species